rnacentral:rRNA from 1 species
UACGAAGGGGCUAGCGUUGCUCGGAAUCACUGGCGUAAAGGGUGCGUAGGCGGGUCUUUAAGUCAGGGUGAAAUCCUGGAGCUCAACUCCAGAACUGCCUUUGAUACUGAAGAUCUUGAGUUCGGAGAGGUGAGUGGAACUGCGAGUGUAGAGGUGAAAUUCGUAGAUAUUCGCAAGAACACCAGUGGCGAAGGCGGCUCACUGGCCCGAUACUGACGCUGAGCACGAAAGCGUGGGAGCGAACAGG